AGUGCAAUUGCUGGGUUAUAUGGUGAGACCAUGUUUUGCUUUGUAAGAAAUUACCAAACUGACUUCCAAAUUGGCUGUACCAUUUUGUAUUUCCACCAGCAAU
rnacentral:pre_miRNA from 1 species